CCAAUAGCGUAUAUUAAAGUUGUUGCAGUUAAAAAGCUCGUAGUUGAAUUUCGGGAUCAAUAUAUCGGUCGUGCCUUGGUACGUACUGGCGUCAUUGAUUUCUCCCUUCUGACGAACCAUGAUGUCAUUAACUUGGUGUUAUGGGAAAUCAGGACUGUUACUUUGAAAAAAUUAGAGUGUUUAAAGCAGGCUUACGCUUGAAUACAUUAGCAUGGAAUAAUGAAAUAGGACGUUCGAACCUAUUUUGUUGGUUUCUAGGAUCAACGUAAUGAUUAAUAGGGAUAGUUGGGGGCAUUAGUAUUCAAUUGUCAGAGGUGAAAUUCUUGGAUUUAUUGAAGACUAACUACUGCGAAAGCAUUUGCCAAGGAUGUUUUCAUUAAUCAAGAACGAAAGUUAGGGGGUCGAAGACGAUCAGAUACCGUCGUAGUCUUAACCAUAAACUAUGCCGACUAGGGAUCGGAUGAUGUUAAUUUUUUAAUGACUCAUUCGGCGCCUUACG
rnacentral:rRNA from 1 species